CGCGUAGGUGGUAGUGUAAGUCUGAGGUGGAAAUCCUAUGGCUUAACCAUAGAACUGCCUUGGAUACUGUAUUACUUGAGUCAGUGAGGGGAGGGUAGAAUUCCUGGUGUAGCGGUGAGAUGCGUAGAUAUCAGGAGGAAGGCCUGUGGCGAAGGCGGCCCUCUGGCGCUGGACUGACACUGAGGCGCGAAAGCGUGGGGAGCAAACAGGAUUAGAUACCCUGGUAGUCCACGCCCUAAACGGUGGGCACUAGGUGUAGGGCUCGUAAGGGUUCUGUGCCGAAGGGAAACCAUUAAGUGCCCCGCCUGGGGAGUACGGCCGCAAGGUUGAA
rnacentral:rRNA from 1 species